UGCCUUUCAAAUAAACAAAUCUUUUUUUUUUUAAUUUAUUUUUGGGCAAAAAAUUUUGAAGUCCAUGCAUACAAGUUGUGGCGAUCAUUAUUAUUAUUUCCAUGUGGAAAUGAUAUCUAACCACCCAGUAGUGGGUGGGGGAGGGCUCAUCUCAGACCCUCACUAACUUAGGGGUCAGGAGCCAGGCUGACCAGGGGGAGGGGCUGAGUUUCCGGGCUGGGAGGAUUGAGUGAUGCUGGGACUACACACUCAGUGCUCAUCUCAGAGAUGUUCCUGGUGCAAAUAAAUUGUCUCGUGGCUCUCUCCUUGCUGUAGAAGAUGCUAUACCCGCAGAUCCUGCAUGCAAUCUUUGCUGUAUUCAGGGAGGCUGGAUAUCUUUGGUUCUUUGUGCCUUAAGGACAACAUGCCAUGACUAGGUUGUGUCGCUUGGUGGCAGCAAAAGAUCAGACAUGAAAAAGUCAGUCAUCAAAACCUUUUGCAAAAGUCUGCUUCUUUGGCUCACAGAAAAGCCUGAAGUAUCUAGCAGCCAUAAUUUCAGUAGAUGCAACACAUCAAUUAAAACACCCUGUGAAUUUUUCCAUGUGAUUAAAAAUAUCUGAGGGGGCCGGCACCGUGGCUCACUUGGUUAAUCCUCUGCCUGUGGUGCCGGCACCCCAUAUGGGUGCCAGGUUCUAGUCCCGGUUGCUCCUCUUCCAGUCCAGCUCUCUGCUGUGGCCUGGGAAGGCAGUGGAGGAUGGCCCAAGUGCUUGGGCCCUGCACCUGCAUGGGAGACCAGGAGGAAGCACCUGGCUCCUGGCUUUGGAUCGGCGCAGCUCCGGCCAUAAUGGCCAUUUGUGGGGUGAACCAACAGAAGGAAGACCUUUCUCUCUGUCUGUCUCUCUCUCUCUCUCUCACUCUCCGACUCUAUCUGUCAAAUUAAAAAAAUAUAUCUGAGGCCAUCGGUGCAAAUGUCAAACAGUAAUGAACUGCCUAGCGAUUUUCAGACAGGCUGCAUAUACAAUGGUGGUCCCAUAGGAUUAUAACAGAACUGCAAAAUUCCUAUUGCCAUCGCAACGUCCUUGUGCAACGCAUUACUUGUAUAUUUGCAGUGUAUUAUUUAUGCACUGGCAUAAAUAAACCUACUGCGCCACCACGCAAGUAAAAAUACAGCCACACAAUGACGUGCAGUACCUGAUAUUUGAUAAUGAUCACAAUGGCUAUACUACUGGCUUAUGUAUUUUCUGUACUAUACUUUUUAGCAUUAUUUUACUCUACUUUUUUUAAAGUUACUGUAAAACAGUAUUCCCUGUUACGCAGGCAGCAGCCUCAUGCAUCCGUGUGUUCUAUUCCUUGGUUGCAGCCAAGAGGCCACACGGUGUCACUGACCUGUCUAGUUCAGUUUUCUGCAAGCGCCGUCUGAGGUGUUUAGCUGACAAUGACAUCGCUGGUCCCCCAUUCACAUUUCUCACAGUAGCUGAUGGGCUUGAUUUCAUAUCUUCCUCCUUACUGUAUAUUUUACUGUAUGUUUACUGUAUAUUUUACUAUCUAUUGUUGGCCUUUUCUGAUUUCUUCCAGAUUAAUCAGGACAUUAGUUUUAACUAAUUCUCUCUUCCCUUCUUCCUCUCAAGCAAUACAAAUUUUACUAUAAAUCACAUAUAUUUUAUUUUGUAUUUAAAGAUCAAAGUCUCUAUGAAUGUGUGUAAAUUCAGGGUCACUUGGAUUCCCUGAAGCUUUUUUUUAUUAAUUUAUUUUAUUCAAAAGGCAGAGUUAGAAGAGUUACAAACAGAGAGGUAGAGACAGAGUGAGAGAUAUUCCGUCUGCUGGUUCAUGCCCCAAAUGGCCACAACAUGGGCCAAUCCAAAGCUAGGAGCCAGGAGCUUCUUCCAGGCCUCCUAUGUGGAUACAGGGGCCCAAGCAUUUGUGUCAUCCUCCACUGCUUUCCCAGGCCAUUAGUAAGGAGCUAGAUCAGCAGUGGAGCAGCUGGGACUCAAACCGGCGCCCAUUUGGGAUGCCAGGGCUGCAGGCGGAUGCCUAACCUACCAGCCACAGUGCCAGCCCCCUCCCCGAAGCUUAAACACCAUCACUCCCACUCUCUCCCCACCUUGGGAGACAGACUGUGUUUGGGUUCUCAUAUAGUCUCCCAUUCAUAUCCUCUAUAUUUGAUAAUUAAAUUAAGAAUUUAUAUGAGGGUUCAAAAAGUUUAUGGAAAAGAAAGUUUGAAGAUAAGUUUAUUUUGGUACAAAAAAUUUGUGUAGAGCAGUUUUUAAAAACAAUAUGCAUUUCCCACGAACUUUUGAUGCCUCCUCAUUUAGGGAGUUUAUAAAUUUUUUGCUAGAUAUAUAUAAUAUAUAAUGUUCAAUCUGGGUAAAUCUAUCCUUUCAAGCAUUUAACAUUUCUUUGUUGUGAAAUCAUAAAAUAAAAACUUAUCUUCUAGCUCUUUUUUAGAGAAAUACACAGUAAACUAAUAUUGUCGGCCGGCGCCGCAGCUCACUAGGCUAAUCCUCCGCCUGCAGCACCAGCAUCCCAGGUUCUAGUCCUGGUCGGGGCACCAGAUUCUGUCCUGGUCACUCCUCUUCCAGUCCAGCUCUCUGCUGUGGCCCGGGAUGCAGUGGAGGAUGGCCCAAGUGCUUGAGCCCUGCACUCCAUGGGAGACCAGGAGGAAGCACCUGACUCCUGGCUUCAGAUCAGCACGGUGCGCCAGCUGCAGCACGCCGGCCGCAGCAGCCACUGGGAGAGGGGAACCAACAGAAAAGGAAGACCUUUCUCUCUGUCUCUCUCUCUCUCUCAUUGUCCACUCUGCCUGUCAAAAAAAAAUUGUCUAUCUUUAUCCUGCUGUGCAAUAGAACCCCAAAACUUUACUCCUGUUUAGGUAUAAGCUAGUACCCAUCCCACCCUCUCUCCCUCUCUCUGACACACACACACAUCUGUACCAUCUGAAGAUAAAUUCUGUGUGUGUAAUUGUCCGAUCCCUCAACACUUCAGUGUGAACUUCCUAGAAAGAGUGACAUCUCUUAUUCUCUUACAUAGUCACAGUGCGGUCAUCAGUUUCCUAAGUCUAUACUGGCAGAGGACUUUAAUCUGUGAUCCAUAUUAAUGUUUUGUCCUUGGCCUACUGAUGUCUUCUCAUGCUCCCAAGCUCUCCUGCCUUAGUUGUAUGUUUUCAGCCUUCUAUAAUCAGGAACCAUACGCAGCCUUUCUCUCUCUCUCUCUUUCUUUCUCUCUCUCUCUUUCUUUCUUUCUUUCUCUCUUUCUUUCUUUCUCUCUUUCUUUCCUUUCUCUCUUUCUUUCUUUCUUUCUCUCUUUCUUUCUUUCCAAUUUAUUUUAUUUAUUUGAAAGAGUUACAGAGAGAGGUAGAGACAGAGAGAGAUAUCUUCCAUCCGCUGGUUCACUCCCUAGUUGGCCACAAUGGCCAGAGCUGAGCUGAUCCAAAGCCAGGAGCCAGGAGCAUCUUCUGGGUCUCCCACGUGGGUGUAGGGGCCCAAGGACCUGGGCCAUCUUCUACCACUAUCCCAGGCCACAGCAGAGAGCUGGAUCAGAAGAGGAGCAGCUGGGACUAGAACUGGUGCCCCUAUGGGAUGCCAGCGCUUCAGGCCAGGGCGUUAACCCACUUCGCCACAGCGCCGGCCCCACACAGCUUUUCUUAGUUUGCUAGCACAUACACAUUUUUUGAGAGUACGGCUCCCCUACCAUCUUUACAGUUGGAUGCUGUUUGGUUCUGUGUGAUUCAGCGCACGCCUUCUCAGCUCAAGCUCAUCAAGGAGUGUUUUCCUCGGGGUACCCCACUGGAGGCACCCGGGAUCUCUGUCCUCCCCUGGGGAUACUAACGUUGCUCAUCUGAUUUCUCUAGCAUGAUGCUUCUAUUUUUCUUCCUUGCAAUGGAUAAGCAGUCUGUAGUGGUUUAUCUUGUUAACAUGCACGUAUAUGCCAAAUUUUCUCCCAGAUUUACUGCGUCUUGUUUGACACAAUCAGUACUAAUGAUGUUUGCAAAAUAGUGGUUUCCCAUCUCCAUCGUUCCCAAGAGAUUUGUCAGUCAUCUCUUGCCAUUCUACCAGAAGCAAGAAACUGCUGCCGUCUAACUCAUUCUCUCUCUCUCUCUCUCUCUCUCUCUCUCCCCUAAACAGUGGCUUUGGACUGGUGUCCUCUAAGCUCUUCCGGUGCUAUCAGGUGGUGACCCUGCAGGGAUUCUGCUAGCUCUGGUUGAGUUGUUCCAGCAAGUUCAAGGUCACAGUGCCCUUGCUGUGGCUCGCUGAAGCGCCUCCUACAGACUGCUGCAAUGACAAUGACCUUCUUCAGGCCUUUUGCGGGGUUCUCUUUGCAUUGCGGGUCUGUGGCUUACCAACCAGAGGACUAAUGUCUCCAGAGCUGCUCCCCCACACUCGGGGUCAGGGACGCCCUCAUUAUGCCUGAGUGCCCCUGGAAGCCGGGAGCCCCGCAGUCACGGUGCUGCCCUGGCUGUGGAGUCACUAAGCCCUUGCUUCCCAAAGUGGUCGGAGGAUCCGUAAAGAAGGCCUUGGAAGCCUUAGGUCUCUGAUGGACACAGAACCUUCGCUCCUGCCCACACCUGGGAAAGUAGAAUCUGUCUGCUAAGAUACGCAGGGAGUACAUCCAGGGUCGCUGAUCACCCUUCCUCGUCCCUGAGUGUGACAAGGGCCAGGUCUCGGGAUGGCUGAACCUCCGCUGAGUGUCCACGCUCCCGUCGCGGCAGGGGCCUCGGGGUCCGGCCACUCCUUCCCGCUAAGGAGCUGAGGAGCUGUCCAGAGCAGCCCGAGCCCUUGCCCUGCAGGUCUUCGCCGGGAGCCCGCUAAUGAUCCCUACUCCCUACCCCAUCUCCGCACCCCCGCAGGGAACAAAGAGGGCCCCUCGGCUCCGCUCCACGCAGCCCAAGCUUUGCUCCGGCGAGCGCAGCUCCAUCCUGGGAGCCGGCACCGAGUGCGGGGUCCCCGGUGCCUUGUCCCCUCCCGGGCCGUGUGCGCGGGCAGCGUCGGGGACUCCCGGGCGGGAGGGCGGGCGGGCGGAGCAGCACCUGGCUCUGCAAGGCGCAGGGGGCGCGGGCUACCAGUAGGCAGAGAACUUGGGGUCUCUGGUGGCCAGCCCACGUGCAUUCUGCCCCCCGCGCGUUCCGGAAGAUGUAGGAGGAUGAGGCUGGCUGUCCUGUAGGGGACGCCCUGGAUGCGGGAGGAGUCGGUGCCCCAGCCCCUCUUCUUAGCGCUUUCCCAGCCUGCAAGUGGGCUCCGCGAAUGGACUCGGUGUUUUUCACUCCCUAUAUCUUCCGCAGGUGGAAAGGGAGCUCCUUCACACCCGAGUGCGCAACAGCCAUAGCUGGGCCGAUGGGAAGCCAGGAGCCAGGAGCUUCAUCCCGGUCUUCCACGCGGGUGCAGGGGCCCAAGCACUUGGGCCAUCUUCCACGGCUUUCCUAAGCGCAUUAGCAGCUAGCUGGACCGGAAGUGGAGCAGCCAGGACUGCAACCUGGUCCACAAGGGAUGCGGGCACUGCAGGCACUGUGUUAACCUACUCCAUGACAGCACUGCACCCCCCCUCCAACUCUAACUGUCACAGUUAAAGCUCGGGCAGGCCACUUACUUCCAACUCAGUUCCCAUGUCUGAAACUGGAUUUGGGAUUUAAAGAUCAAACACGUCCAAAAUAAUGUGAUUAAUAGCUUUUUGUCAUGUUUAGAAUUUGCUUCUACCUAUACAAGUGGAAGUUAUGGAACCAAACUUCGCUUGCACAUGAAACACAGGUACAACUUGAUGAGAGGUACAAGGUCAAGUGCCUGGCUGGAGCCGGAUUUCCUGGAUCUGUUGCUGUCCUCAGGACCUGGCCACUACAUACGGAUGGGUUGCAAAGUCUGAGUCUCCUGAAAAGUGAGACGCAUUCUUGGAAGAAGUCCUGGAGCAAUGGGGCUUCCAGUGGCCUAUGGGCUCUGAUGUUGGCUGCAGAUGAGGCUGCUCUUGUGUGACAGCAGGACAAGGGGGGCCCUUCUCUGUGUUGAAAGAACCACCUAUAAAUAAAGAAAAUGUUCGUCUUGGCAGUGAACCGGGGGAUACCAGAACAGUAUGGUAUCACCAAGAAAUCCCACCUGCAUUAAAGAAAGUCACCAAGAGGAAGAGCACGUGGUGAGCAGUGAGAGGCUGUCGGUGAGUCCUGGGAUGAACAGAGAUGCUGAGGCAGUCUGGGACAUCUGUCUCCGAGGAAAAUGGUUGUGGGACAUAGUGGAAGAAUGUCCCUUGGGAAAAAUCCUAGCAAGGCGACAGUAGUCAAUGGUAACUUAAAGGGCUUCUUGCUGUUGGUGAAGUUGCUACUAUGUGUAUCAAACUCUUUUGGGAACUCUUCUGUCUUUAGCUUUGAUUUUUACUUUCAGCUUUAGAUUUUAAUAAUUAAGGACUGAAUGAUGUGAAAUGUGCAUGAGUCAUCAAGGCGUGAGUUUUUGCUGGACUUCCACAAGGAGCUCAGCCCUAUGGUGGGCUGCUGCUGUAGGAGCUGUGUGGAGUUUCUCUUAAGACUUAUCUCCCUCUGUGAAGUCAGCUAACUUCUGAGUGGCUCAGCCGUCUCACUCUGUGUUCUCUAACUUCAAUUCUCUUUUCCCACAUGGUUUAUUAACCUCUUUACAAGUGGACUGACCUUAUUAAAAAGGAGCUGAAACAUUCGGAUCAAAAUUGCUUGUAUCUUUCAUUGUGUGCUGUUUUAACUUCAUUGUAGUGUGGUGCAAAUGGUAAUUGCUUUUUUUUUUUUUUUUGACAGGCAGAGUGGACAGUGAGAGAGAGAGAGACAGAGAGAAAGGUCUUCCUUUUGCCGUUGGUUCACCCUCCAAUGGCUGCCGCGGCUGGCGCGCUGCGGCCGGCGCACCGCGCUGAUCCGAUGGCAGGAGCCAGGAGCCAGGUGCUUUUCCUGGUCUCCCAUGGGGUGCAGGACCCAAGCACCUGGGCCAUCCUCCACUGCACUCCCUGGCCACAGCAGAGGGCUGGCCUGGAAGAGGGGCAACCGGGACAGAAUCCGGCGCCCCGACCGGGACUAGAACCCGGUGUGCCGGCGCCGCUAGGCGGAGAAUUAGCCUAGUGAGCCGCGGCGCCGGCCGGUAAUUGCUUAUUGAAAUGACUGACAUUUAAAUUGUAGGAGGUCCUUUGGUUUCUUAGUGGGAUCUCUGGGGAUAUUUCAGUUCGGUCUCCAUGCAACUUAGGUUAGUUAUGGUGGAGUCACAGCUUUCAAAUCUCUGUGUACCUGACCCAGUGCUAAUCAGAAGUUCUAGAUUGGAAUCUUGCCUCUGACACCAAUUUUGAGCUAGCUAAUCCCUUGGAACUUGCCUGUCCAUUAUACAAAGGAGAAUGAUCUCUUUACCUUUUAGGAUAAAGGUCAAGUUUCUGCAGCACAGUGACUGUUCGUGUGUUAGUUCCUUGCCACUCCCUAGCCCAGAUAAACUUCCCUGCAAAGUUAGUGUCCACUUUUGCUUAAAAUUCAUAAGUAAUGCUUCCCUUAUGCUCUGAUUUGCUUGUCAAGUUAAGAGGUCAGGUGAACACACUUCAUAGAUACAGAAACUCUGAAAAUGAUUUGUCUAAGGCUUGUUUAAAAUAAAGUAGGUGGCUAAUGUAGUUGGCGACAUGGAGUAUAGGUGUGGACCAGGAUUCAGUUUCACUAGCUCUUGCCUAAGGAGGAGUGUACAGAUGCUUAGGCUGCUACGAAGUCCUCUUUGCU